CAGGUGUUCCAGGCUCCAGUUGAAACAGCCACCUGGAUUUGUGUAAGUUUUUGUGCAGAGACCUGCGGCGCCGGCUGAAACAGCUACGCUAGAAACUUGUGGUGCUUUUCAGCCUGGGAAUCUCCUGGUCUGCGUGCAGUAAUAACUUGUUUGGAAAUGCAGUGAUCACUCACCUUCUAAGUUGUUCUCGCUGGGAACUGCACUCCAGAGCUGUUCCUAUUCAGCCGUCUUUGAUCUGGAGGCCUCCCUAUCACUUUCAGGAUGUCAUCUUCCUGGUACAGAUGGAAAGAAGGCCAGAUCUGGCUCCUCCUUACUGGAAACAAACAACCUUGACCCCACUGUUGACAACGUUUCCUUGCCUCCAACUCCCAGCCUGUCACUUUGAUGGCCCAGGUAGUUUUCUAUGGCAAUGCAGACCAGGUACGGAAACCCAGGCACAGAGAAGUGAAUGGAUUUGCCUAAAGUCACAAAUGCAGCAAAUAGUAGAACCAGCAGCUCAGUCCCUAGUCUGUGACUCCAAAUCCACACAUUUAAAGAUGGAAGAACUGAGAAGAGUUUGAUGACACUGCUUAAGGCACAGAGCUGGUGAGUAGAGGAACAGGGUCUGAAAGCAAGCAGUCUGACUCUGGGGUCUGGGCUGUUUAUUUUUACACAGGCUAUUUUCCCAAGGCCAAAAAGGGCCAGAGGGCUGGCAUCUUUGUCAUGGAAGACAGGGAGGACACUCAUAAUUGUAAUUUUAAUUUGAUAUCGGGGGAGAAAACAAAAAUCCCAGAACAGAGUCCCAUGUGCUGUCCCAUGGGCACCUCACAGAUGCAGGGCUGGGCUGUUCCACAGUAAUGAAUGCAGACCUCUUAAUCAGGUGAUCUGACAACCGAGCCACUUGCCAGGGAAACUGUGCCCCUCUAGAAGAGAUUGU
rnacentral:lncRNA from 13 species